GCGCACGCUGGCGGCAGGCCUAACACAUGCCAGUCGAACGAACCUUUCGGGGUUAGUGGCGGACGGGUGAGUCACACGUGGGAACGUGCCUUUAGGUUCGGAAUAACUCAGGGAAACUUGUGCUAAUACCGAAUGUGCCCUUCGGGGGAAAGAUUAAUCGCCUUUAGAGCGGCCCGCGUCUGAUUAGCUAGUUGGUUGAGGUAAUGGCUCACCAAGGCGACGAUCAGUAGCUGGUCUGAGAGGAUGAUCAGCCACAUUGGGACUGAGACACGGCCCAAACUCCUACGGGAGGCAGCAGUGGGGAAUCUUGCGCAAUGGGCGAAAGCCUGACGCAGCCAUGCCGCGUGAAUGAUGAAGGUCUUAGGAUUGUAAAAUUCUUUCACCGGGGACGAUAAUGACGGUACCCGGAGAAGAAGCCCCGGCUAACUUCGUG
rnacentral:rRNA from 1 species